AUGAACGCUGGCGGCGUGCCUAAUACAUGCAAGUCGAGCGAACAGACGAGGAGCUUGCUCCUCUGACGUUAGCGGCGGACGGGUGAGUAACACGUGGAUAACCUACCUAUAAGACUGGGAUAACUUCGGGAAACCGGAGCUAAUACCGGAUAACAUGUUGAACCGCAUGGUUCAACAGUGAAAGACGGUCUUGCUGUCACUUAUAGAUGGAUCCGCGCCGCAUUAGCUAGUUGGUAAGGCAACGGCUUACCAAGGCAACGAUGCGUAGCCGACCUGAGAGGGUGAUCGGCCACACUGGAACUGAGACACGGUCCAGACUCCUACGGGAGGCAGCAGUAGGGAAUCUUCCGCAAUGGGCGAAAGCCUGACGGAGCAACGCCGCGUGAGUGAAGAAGGUCUUCGGAUCGUAAAACUCUGUUAUUAGGGAAGAACAAAUGUGUAAGUAACUAUGCACGUCUUGACGGUACCUAAUCAGAAAGCCACGGCUAACUACGUG
rnacentral:rRNA from 1 species